rnacentral:rRNA from 1 species
CCUGACUGCUAUCGGAUUGAUACUAAGCCAUGCGAGUCAUUGUAGCAAUACAAGGGAGACGGGUCAGUAACGCGUAGUCAACCUAACCUAUGGACGGGAAUAACCUCGGGAAACUGAGAAUAAUGCCCGAUAGAACACUAUACCUGGAAUGGUUUGUGUUCCAAAUGAUUUAUCGCCAUAGGAUGGGACUGCGGCCUAUCAGUUUGUUGGUGAGGUAAUGGCCCACCAAGACUAUUACAGGGACGGGCUCUGAGAGGAGUAGCCCGGAGAUGGGUACUGAGACACGGACCCA